rnacentral:lncRNA from 1 species
GAGAACAAACUCUCCAUGGAAAUCGAAAAACCAAACUGAGUAACGUAAGCUAAAGCUAUUAUUUCAAAUUUCUAUCCAUUAUUUACAUGAGUUUCUCUGUAUUCAGUGUGGUCGUCUUCUUCUUUACAUUAGAAAAAAAUAAACAAAAAGACCAUAAAAUACAACAUACCACAAAUCAAAAGAAGUCUGGUUUGAGAGAUAUAUGGUGAUCAUCAGAGAAAUAACAUUGAGAAACACGACAUGGUUACGUUCGUUCAUUGAUGACUUAUUAAACAUGGGUUGCUGCAUGCAGAGGUGGUGGAGGCGGCAAAGGCGAAUUGAUCGGAGAUAUGGGAGGAAAUGAGAUGAUCCAUCUGCUCCUUAAUGAACCGUACGUCAUUCACCAAUGGAUUCU